rnacentral:rRNA from 1 species
GGGUUGUGAGGUUAAGCGACUAAGCGUACACGGUGGAUGCCCUGGCAGUCAGAGGCGAUGAAGGACGUGCUAAUCUGCGAAAAGCGUCGGUAAGGUGAUAUGAACCGUUAUAGCCGGCGAUGUCCGAAUGGGGAAACCCAGUGUGAUUCGUCACACUAUCGUUAACUGAAUACAUAGGUUAACGAGGCGAACCGGGGGAACUGAAACAUCUAAGUACCCCGAGGAAAAGAAAUCAACCGAGAUUCCCCCAGUAGCGGCGAGCGAACGGGGAGCAGCCCAGAGUCUGAAUCAGCUUGUGUGUUAGUGGAACGGUCUGGAAAGUCCGACGGUACAGGGUGAUAGUCCCGUACACCAAAAUGCACAGGCUGUGAACUCGAAGAGUAGGGCGGGACACGUGGUAUCCUGUCUGAAUAUGGGGGGACCAUCCUCCAAGGCUAAAUACUCCUGACUGACCGAUAGUGAACCAGUACCGUGAGGGAAAGGCGAAAAGAACCCCGGCGAGGGGAGUGAAAAAGAACCUGAAACCGUGUACGUACAAGCAGUGGGAGCACCUUCGGGUGUGACUGCGUACCUUUUGUAUAAUGGGUCAGCGACUUAUAUUCUGUAGCAAGGUUAACCGUAUAGGGGAGCCGCAGGGAAACCGAGUCUUAACUGGGCGUUAAGUUGCAGGGUAUAGACCCGAAACCCGGUGAUCUAGCCAUGGGCAGGUUGAAGGUUGGGUAACACUAACUGGAGGACCGAACCGACUAAUGUUGAAAAAUUAGCGGAUGACUUGUGGCUGGGGGUGAAAGGCCAAUCAAACCGGGAGAUAGCUGGUUCUCCCCGAAAGCUAUUUAGGUAGCGCCUCGUGAACUCAUCUUCGGGGGUAGAGCACUGUUUCGGCUAGGGGGUCAUCCCGACUUACCAACCCGAUGCAAACUACGAAUACCGAAGAAUGUUAUCACGGGAGACACACGGCGGGUGCUAACGUCCGUCGUGAAGAGGGAAACAACCCAGACCGCCAGCUAAGGUCCCAAAGUCAUGGUUAAGUGGGAAACGAUGUGGGAAGGCACAGACAGCCAGGAUGUUGGCUUAGAAGCAGCCAUCAUUUAAAGAAAGCGUAAUAGCUCACUGGUCGAGUCGGCCUGCGCGGAAGAUGUAACGGGGCUAAACCAUGCACCGAAGCUGCGGCAGCGACACUAUGUGUUGUUGGGUAGGGGAGCGUUCUGUAAGCCUGCGAAGGUGUGCUGUGAGGCAUGCUGGAGGUAUCAGAAGUGCGAAUGCUGACAUAAGUAACGAUAAAGCGGGUGAAAAGCCCGCUCGCCGGAAGACCAAGGGUUCCUGUCCAACGUUAAUCGGGGCAGGGUGAGUCGACCCCUAAGGCGAGGCCGAAAGGCGUAGUCGAUGGGAAACAGGUUAAUAUUCCUGUACUUGGUGUUACUGCGAAGGGGGGACGGAGAAGGCUAUGUUAGCCGGGCGACGGUUGUCCCGGUUUAAGCAUGUAGGCUGGUUGUCCAGGCAAAUCCGGAUAAUCAAGGCUGAGGUGUGAUGACGAGGCACUACGGUGCUGAAGUAACAAAUGCCCUGCUUCCAGGAAAAGCCUCUAAGCAUCAGGUAACAUUAAAUCGUACCCCAAACCGACACAGGUGGUCAGGUAGAGAAUACCAAGGCGCUUGAGAGAACUCGGGUGAAGGAACUAGGCAAAAUGGUGCCGUAACUUCGGGAGAAGGCACGCUGGUGUGUAGGUGAAGUCCCUGCGGAUGGAGCUGAGACCAGUCGAAGAUACCAGCUGGCUGCAACUGUUUAUUAAAAACACAGCACUGUGCAAACACGAAAGUGGACGUAUACGGUGUGACGCCUGCCCGGUGCCGGAAGGUUAAUUGAUGGGGUUAUCCGUAAGGAGAAGCUCUUGAUCGAAGCCCCGGUAAACGGCGGCCGUAACUAUAACGGUCCUAAGGUAGCGAAAUUCCUUGUCGGGUAAGUUCCGACCUGCACGAAUGGCGUAAUGAUGGCCAGGCUGUCUCCACCCGAGACUCAGUGAAAUUGAACUCGCUGUGAAGAUGCAGUGUACCCGCGGCAAGACGGAAAGACCCCGUGAACCUUUACUAUAGCUUGACACUGAACAUUGAGCCUUGAUGUGUAGGAUAGGUGGGAGGCUUUGAAGCGUGGACGCCAGUCUGCGUGGAGCCAACCUUGAAAUACCACCCUUUAAUGUUUGAUGUUCUAACGUUGGCCCCUUACCGGGGUUGCGGACAGUGUCUGGUGGGUAGUUUGACUGGGGCGGUCUCCUCCCAAAGCGUAACGGAGGAGCACGAAGGUUAGCUAAUCCUGGUCGGACAUCAGGAGGUUAGUGCAAUGGCAUAAGCUAGCUUGACUGCGAGCGUGACGGCGCGAGCAGGUGCGAAAGCAGGUCAUAGUGAUCCGGUGGUUCUGAAUGGAAGGGCCAUCGCUCAACGGAUAAAAGGUACUCCGGGGAUAACAGGCUGAUACCGCCCAAGAGUUCAUAUCGACGGCGGUGUUUGGCACCUCGAUGUCGGCUCAUCACAUCCUGGGGCUGAAGUAGGUCCCAAGGGUAUGGCUGUUCGCCAUUUAAAGUGGUACGCGAGCUGGGUUUAGAACGUCGUGAGACAGUUCGGUCCCUAUCUGCCGUGGGCGCUGGAGAAUUGAGGGGGGCUGCUCCUAGUACGAGAGGACCGGAGUGGACGCAUCACUGGUGUUCGGGUUGUCAUGCCAAUGGCACUGCCCGGUAGCUAAAUGCGGAAGAGAUAAGUGCUGAAAGCAUCUAAGCACGAAACUUGCCCCGAGAUGAGUUCUCCCUGAGACUUUAAGUCUCCUGAAGGAACGUUGAAGACGACGACGUUGAUAGGCCGGGUGUGUAAGCGCAGCGAUGCGUUGAGCUAACCGGUACUAAUGAACCGUGAGGCUUAACCUUACAACGCCGAAG